CAAAAUAAAAUCAAUUUAAUUUUUGACACAUUUCCUUCCAUCGAUGUUUGUAUCAUUAUUUGAUACAUUGCCAUUUUAAUUGAUUUAUUCCCGAAAAAUAGCAUGUGUUAUGUAUUGUUUACCCCCUGUCAGUAGCCCCCGAAAAUGUAACUCGAGUAUAAAAGACCGUGCGUGACUGUAUGGAGACUCAUACACGUGUAGCACUUCAAAUUAGUCUUGGGAAAGAGAAAAAGUCUUUUAAAGUUUAAUUUAGUAACUGGAAGGCAUUUUGAAGUAAUGUACAUCACUACAUGUGUAUGUAUAUAAUUUUGUUUUCAGUUUGUACCCCAAGUGACCUUCUGUGGUUACAGAAAUUCAUGAGUUAAGAAACCUAUGAGAACUGGCAACAAGAAAGAUGACAAAUACUACAGUGUCUAAGGCAACAGGAUCAGGUGAAAAAAGUGAACUUCCAGCUCAAAGUGUUCCCACAUCAAGAAGGUGUCAAGUUAAAGAUGCAACAAUGAUAGAACAGGUGACUUGAAUAAAGACAAAUGGUUAGAAGGCCAAAAAAGGCUAUGUGCUGGAAUAUGUUACAGGAAAAGAUGAGGAAUAUG